rnacentral:rRNA from 1 species
AUUGAACGCUGGCGGCAGGCCUAACACAUGCAAGUCGAGCGGUAACAGGGGAAGCUUGCUUUCUGCUGACGAGCGGCGGACGGGUGCGUAACACGUAGGAAUCUGCCCGGUAGGCGGGGGAUAGCCCGGAGAAAUUCGGAUUAAUACCGCAUACGCCCUAAGGGGGAAAGCAGGGGAUCUUCGGACCUUGCACUAUCGGAUGAGCCUGCGUCGGAUUAGCUUGUUGGUAGGGUAAAAGCCUACCAAGGCGACGAUCCGUAGCUGGUCUGAGAGGAUGAUCAGCCACACUGGAACUGAGACACGGUCCAG